GCUCGGAGCGCAGGGGCGGAGCGUUGCGAGGGGCUAGGGCCACGCUGUCCCUAGGGCUGGGGAGAAGACUGCAACCACUACCCGGCAGGGCUGCAUCCUAGAGCUGCGCGCCGGAGCCUCCGCCAUGACUACCCUGCUGGGAGCCGCCAUUGGAGGAGCUCUGGCAGUGUGCGCUGUGCCUUUCGCGCUGACCACUGCGGGCUUCACCGCGACCGGGAUCGCAGUUUCCUCCGUGGCCGCGAAAAUGAUGUCGGCCGCAGCCAUUGCCAA